AGUGAACGCUGGCGGUAGGCCUAACACAUGCAAGUCGAACGGCAGCACAGUAAGAGCUUGCUCUUACGGGUGGCGAGUGGCGGACGGGUGAGGAAUACAUCGGAAUCUACUUUUUCGUGGGGGAUAACGUAGGGAAACUUACGCUAAUACCGCAUACGACCUACGGGUGAAAGCAGGGGAUCUUCGGACCUUGCGCGAUUGAAUGAGCCGAUGUCGGAUUAGCUAGUUGGCGGGGUAAAGGCCCACCAAGGCGACGAUCCGUAGCUGGUCUGAGAGGAUGAUCAGCCACACUGGAACUGAGCCACGGUCCAGACUCCUCCGGGAGGCAGCAGUGGGGAAUAUUGGACAAAGGGCGCAAGCCUGACCCAGCCAUACCGCGUGGGUGAAGAAGGCCUUCGGGUUGUAAAGCCCUCUUGUUGGGAAAGAAAAGCAGCAGGUUAAUACCCCGCUGUUCUGACGGUACCCAAAGAAUAAGCACCGGCUAACUUCGUG
rnacentral:rRNA from 1 species